rnacentral:tRNA from 1 species
GGCUCGGUGGUGUAGUUGGUCAUCACGUCAGUCUAACAAGCUAAUUCGGAGGAAUAGGUCCCGAGUUCAAGCCUCGGCUGAGUCA